rnacentral:rRNA from 1 species
UGGGGAAUAUUGGACAAUGGGCGCAAGCCUGAUCCAGCCAUGCCGCGUGAGUGAUGAAGGCCUUAGGGUUGUAAAGCUCUUUCGCCGACGAAGAUAAUGACGGUAGUCGGAGAAGAAGCCCCGGCUAACUUCGUGCCAGCAGCCGCGGUAAUACGAGGGGGCUAGCGUUGUUCGGAAUCACUGGGCGUAAAGCGCACGUAGGCGGAUUGUUAAGUCAGGGGUGAAAGCCUGGAGCUCAACUCCAGAACUGCCCUUGAUACUGGCAAUCUCGAGUCCGGAAGAGGUAAGUGGAACUGCGAGUGUAGAGGUGAAAUUCGUAGAUAUUCGCAAGAACACCAGUGGCGAAGGCGGCUUACUGGUCCGGUACUGACGCUGAGGUGCGAAAAGCGUGGGGAGCAAAACAGGAUUAGAUACCCUGGUAGUCCACGCCGUAAAACGAUGGAGGCUAGCCGUUGGCGAGCAUGCUCGUCAGUGGCGCAGCUAACGCAUUAAGCCUCCCGCCUGGGGAGUACGGUCGCAAGAUUAAAAACUC